AGGCGAGGCCCUCCCUGUCAGUCCACAUAGUGCAUUGUCUCCAGAACCACAAAGAAAGAGGAUCCAGCUGUUGGACGGCCGACUCAGAGGAGGACAAAAAGUCUCAUCAGGAAUCCUGCUGCUGCGCUGAAGAGCCAGGGUCAGAGCAGACGACAGCUCAGGCUGAGGAAAAUAGCACUCCUACUGACGAAGCAGCAGCAAAUCCACCCCCUGAUAUGACAACAGAGUUAAAGAAGGAGGCAGGCAGGAUGGGGAAGCAAAUUUUC